CGGAAUAUACUCUUCGAUUCCUAGCUUAUAAUCGCUAUGGGCCAGGAGUAUCUACUGAUGAUAUAACAGUGGUUACGCUUUCUGAUGUGCCAAGUGCCCCGCCUCAGAACGUCUCCCUGGAAGUGGUUAAUUCAAGGAGUAUCAAAGUAAGCUGGCUGCCUCCUCCAUCAGGAACACAAAAUGGAUUUAUUACUGGC